GCAUAUCAAUAAGCGGAGGAAAAGAAACCAACAGGGAUUGCCUUAGUAACGGCGAGUGAAGCGGCAACAGCUCAAAUUUGAAAUCUGGCCCUCGGGUCCGAAUUGUAAUUUGUAGAGGAUGCUUUUGGUGCGGUGCCUUCUGAGUUCCUUGGAACAGGACGCCUUAGAGGGUGAGAGCCCCGUACAGUUGGACACCAAGCCUUUGUAAAGCUCCUUCGACGAGUCGAGUAGUUUGGGAAUGCUGCUCUAAAUGGGAGGUAAAUUUCUUCUAAAGCUAAAUAUUGGCCAGAGACCGAUAGCGCACAAGUAGAGUGAUCGAAAGAUGAAAAGUACUCUGAAAAGAGGGUUAAAUAGCACGUGAAAUUGUUGAAAGGGAAGCGUUUAUGACCAGACCUUCGUCGGGCGGAUCAUCCGGUGUUCUUCACCGGUGCACUUCGCCCGGCUUAGGCCAGCAUCGGUUUUCGUAGGGGGAUAAAGGCCUAGGGAAUGUGGCUCCCUCCGGGGAGUGUUAUAGCCCUGGGCGUAAUACCUUUAUGGGGACCGAGGUUCGCGCUCCGGCAAGGAUGCUGGCGUAAUGGUCAUCAACGACCCGUCUUGAAACACGGACC
rnacentral:rRNA from 1 species